GGGGUUGUGGCUCAGCGGUAGAGUGCUCGCCUAGCACGUGUGAGGCCUUGGUUUCAAUUCUCAGCACCACA
rnacentral:tRNA from 1 species